GGGGGCAUAGCUCAGUGGUAAAGUGUGUGUUUAGAAUGCACAAGGUACUGGGUUCAAUCCCCAGUAACUCCA